GCUAMGAGAAUGAUUARACAAUUAAAAGCUUUCUUUAAUUGAAUAAUUGAAUUUAAUUUUUUAGUGCAAAAGCAAAAAUAAAAAUUARGGACAAGAAGACCCUAUGAAUUUUUUAUUAAAUUUUAUAAAACUUUAUAUAAAAUUUAAUUUAAUUGGGGUGAUGGAAAAAGAAUAAAUAUCUUUUUUUWAAAAAAAAWUKGSUUCCGUUUUUAGCGAUUAAAUGAAAAAAAUACUCUAGGGAUAACA
rnacentral:rRNA from 1 species